rnacentral:rRNA from 1 species
UACGAAGGGGGCAAGCGUUGUUCGGAAUCAUUGGGCGUAAAGACGCGUGUAGGCUGUCUAUUAUGUCGGGUGUGAAAUCCCUGGGCUCAACCGAGGAAGUGCAUUCGAAACUGAUAGACUAGAAGAUGGUAGAGGAAGGUGGAAUUCCAAGUGUAGAGGUGAAAUUCGUAGAUAUUUGGAGGAAUACCGGUGGCGAAGGCGGCCUUCUGGGGCCAUUCUUGACGCUGAGACGCGAAAGCGUGGGUAGCAAAC